rnacentral:tRNA from 1 species
GGGGUCAUAGCUCAGUUGGGAGAGCGCCGCGUUUGCAAUGCGGAGGUCGUCGGUUCGAUCCCGUCUGACUCCA